CAGUAACGCGUAGUCAACCUACCCUAUGGACGGGGAUAACCUCGGGAAACUGAGAAUAAUACCCGAUAGAACAUUAUGCCUGGAAUGGUUUAUGUUUCAAAUAAUUUAUUGCCGUAGGAUGGGACUGCGGCCUAUCAGUUUGUUGGUGAGGUAAUGGCCCACCAAGACUAUUACAGGUACGGGCUCUGAGAGGAGUAGCCCGGAGAUGGGUACUGAGACACGGACCCAGGCCCUAUGGGGCGCAGCAGGCGAGAAAACUUUGCAAUGUGCGAAAGCACGACAAGGUUAAUCCGAGUGGUUUCUGCUAAAGGAACCUUUUGUCAGUCCUAGAAACACUGAUGAAUAAGGGGUGGGCAAGUUCUGGUGUCAGCCGCCGCGGUAAAACCAGCACCUCAAGUGGUCAGGAUGAUUAUUGGGCCUAAAGCAUCCGUAGCCUGCUUUGUAAGUUUUCGGUUAAAUCCAUAUGCUCAACAUAUGGGCUGCCGGGAAUACUGCAAAGCUAGGGAGUGGGAGAGGUAGACGGUACUCGGUAGGAAGGGGUAAAAUCCUUUGAUCUAUUGAUGACCACCUGUGGCGAAAGCGGUCUACCAGAACACGUCCGACGGUGAGGGAUGAAAGCUGGGGGAGCAAACCGGAUUAGAUACCCGGGUAGUCCCAGCUGUAAACUAUGCAAACUCAGUGAUGC
rnacentral:rRNA from 1 species